rnacentral:rRNA from 1 species
UACGUAGGGUGCGAGCGUUGUCCGGAAUUAUUGGGCGUAAAGGGCUCGUAGGCGGUUUGUCGCGUCGGGUGUGAAAACUCAGGGCUUAACCCUGAGCCUGCUUCCGAUACGGGCAGACUAGAGGUAUGCAGGGGAGAACGGAAUUCCUGGUGUAGCGGUGAAAUGCGCAGAUAUCAGGAGGAACACCGGUGGCGAAGGCGGGUCUCUGGGCCGAUACUGACGCUGAGGAGCGAAAGCGUGGGGAGCAAACAGG